CAACUCGCUCGCUGUCCCUCAGGGACUUCAUGUGCCAGACUGCUUACCCACCCUAGGCAGCACUGUGCAGAAACGCGGCUGCCGGGCGUGCGGGUGAACAAACGCCAGCUCCGAGAGGUGGAUUCACAUGUCCAAGGUCACACAGCAAGAACGCAAUCAUGGUGCUCUUGGAAAUGCCCCCCUCCCUGUGGUUGUGUGCACGUCUGACCCUGCACCUCUGGCCACUGUGAGGCCUCAAAAAUAUUGACUUUUCAAAAUGCCAAGCCAAAUCCAAGGUUGAAAGCCACAUCAGCCCAACCGCCUGGUAUGAUCUCCGUGCCGCCCCCUCGCCUCUGUCCUGAGUAAAUAUUUGCUCUCCAGACA